rnacentral:misc_RNA from 1 species
CUGUUUGGCAAUAGCGCAGUAGAUUGGUUUUGAGGUGAGAAUUAUUUUGUAAACACACAGACUUCUUUUCUUUAUUUAAAAAUGUAUGGUGUGAAAAUGACAAGCAUUAUUUUACGGUCUGAUAAUGUUUGGUUGAAAAUUCUACGUGGGAAAAAAUCGAUUUUCACCUCAACAGCGUCAUGGAAAGAACCGACUGAUGUAGAUGAAAAAACCAAAAGAAGACAGCAACAAAUUGAACGGCAAAAGACUGAUUUGGCACUAUUUGGACCGAUCAUCAAAGAAAAGAAAACAAGGAAAAAAAAAGAAAUUAAUACUCCUGAUCCCAUUAAAGUUGAUAAUACAAUCAAGUCAGAAGAACUAUUACCAAUAAACUUGUGGAAUUUACCAAAAGAGCAAUUCAAAAUCACCAAGGCUCCUUACUCGAAGAAACAUUUGAUGCCAACUGACAACACAAUUUCCUCUGAAGGUACUGAACAUUCUUCGUCCAUCAAAGAUUCAAAAGAAACCUCAAACAAAGUACCACCAAAACGAAAACCUUUGGCUGAAAAAAAGGUUAACAAUGAAAUCACAUUUUCAGAAAAUAUUGAACCUAGUACGCCAUUUUUCAAAAAAGAUGAGAUUAUUCUCCCUUUUCCCAUGGUUCUUAAAAAAGAAUGUACUCUCCCAAGUUCAAAAGAAAUCUUAUCAAUUGCAAGUGCUAAAGUUGAUGUACCUAGCGUGACACAGGUUUUGAGUAAGACCAUGUCAGAUAAAAGUGAAAUGAUGUUGGCUAUGUGGCGGAAAAGGAAAAUAGCAGAAGUUGGAGAGGAAGGACUUAAGGAAUUCAUGAGAGAAUCUAAACUGACUGGAAAAGAACUGCAUCUCAGUAUUGAGACUUACCUACGAGGGGUGGAGUACAAUUCAGUUCAAGUUGUGCCACGCAUUUCUGGUCAUUGGCUAAGUAUGAAAUCGAUUUUGGGAUCUCUAGAAGACGUCGCGGUGCUAGAAAGCUACGUUGUACAUAAACAAUUAAAAUAUAAAGGAUUUGUGGAUUGCGUUUGCAAGUACAAGGAUAAUUUAGUGGUUGUUGAGUGGAAAACAUCUCAAAGAACUAAGUCAACUUUACAGGAUGCAUACGACGAUCCCAUUCAAAUAGCUGCCUACAUUGGUGCAAUAAAUGCUGAUGAAAGAUAUCCACUAAGGCAGGUGGAAAACGCCUUGUUAGUGGUCGCUUAUCCAACUGGUCGACCUGCCGAUGUUCUAACUUUAGAUAAAAAACUGUGCGAACACUAUUGGAACGAAUGGCUCAAACGCUUGGAAGCAUUUAAUGAGCUCAAGAAAUCUGCCGAAAAACAGUGAAUGUAUGCUGGUGAAGAAGAAUGAAUGGGCUGUAAGGCAAAUCAUCCACCAGCUAUUUUAUCAAAUCACAAACUUGAUCUUGAAAAAGUACGAAAUCGGCCAAUCUGUAUACAAGAAAAAUCGUG